GACGAACGCUGGCGGCGUGCUUAACGCAUGCAAGUCGAACGGAAAGGCCCUGCUUGCAGGGUACUCGAGUGGCGAACGGGUGAGUAACACGUGGGUGAUCUGCCCUGCACUUCGGGAUAAGCCUGGGAAACUGGGUCUAAUACCGGAUAGGAGCCAUUUUUAGUGUGAUGGUUGGAAAGUUUUUUCGGUGUAGGAUGAGCUCGCGGCCUAUCAGCUUGUUGGUGGGGUAAUGGCCUACCAAGGCGGCGACGGGUAGCCGGCCUGAGAGGGUGGACGGCCACAUUGGGACUGCGGGACGGCCCAGACUCCUACGGGAGGCAGCAGUGGGGAAUAUUGCACAAUGGGGGCAAGCCUGAUGCAGCGACGCCGCGUGGGGGAUGACGGCCUUUGGGUUGUGAACGCCUUUCGCUAGGGACGAAGCUUUUUGUGACGGUACCUAGAUAAGAAGCACCGGCUAACUACGUG
rnacentral:rRNA from 1 species